UGGGAGAGCAGGGUAUUGUGGA
rnacentral:miRNA from 2 species